UACGAAGGGGGCUAGCGUUGCUCGGAUUGACUGGGCGUAAAGGGCGCGUAGGCGGAUAGUACAGUCAGGCGUAAAAUUCCUGGGCUCAACCUGGGGGCUGCGUUUGAUACGUGUUGUCUGGAGUUCGGAAGAGGGUCGUGGAAUUCCCAGUGUAGAGGUGAAAUUCGUAGAUAUUGGGAAGAACACCGGUGGCGAAGGCGGCGACCUGGUCCGAUACUGACGCUGAGGCGCGAAAGCGUGGGGAGCAAACAGG
rnacentral:rRNA from 1 species